AUUACGAGACUCGACUCGACGUUCAGGGAAAUGGGGAGAUAAUGAAUUUCAUUUACAAAAAUGCUCGAUUCAUUCGAGUCGCUUCCGAAUCGUUUCGAAUCGUUCUUUCGACUCCAAAGUGAAAGAGAGAGAAAGAUAUAUGUAUAUAAACGUUGAAAGAGAGGGUUGCAAGACGAAGAAGGAUCCCAGAUAGGCGGAUGGCGUGCUGGCUGCCGGAAGUCGCGUGUCGUGCCACACUACCGUACCACUUUCUACCCACCCCCCACCCCUCCUCCAUUACUGCCCAAGCCGCUCAAGGAACCAAUUUUACCGCAUUCCCUUGCAACCAAGGAAGGUACGAGGAACGUUGGGCAGCCUCGGUUGAGCCGCCAGGUUGAGGUUAGGCUAGGCGCGCGUUACGGUUAUCCUUCGCGCAUGGAACGCGGUGAUUGGUCGAUUCGGAUCUGGUUCGUUCCGAGCAACGAAACCAGGGGUGGAGGAAGGCAAACCGUUGGCCACCUCGCGCCAGUCUUUCGCAAUCGCGAGGAUUGGACGCGGCUGAUCGAGAGUCCUCGUCGCCUCGAUCUCCGAACUUCGCCGCUCGAUGGAUGGAUCGAUCGACUGAUGAUCGGUCGAGAAAGAUUCGUUCGGAGAAAAUCGAACGGAACGAAAGAAGAAACUUUUUUCGACGAUUUUUGUGAGAAGAGGAAGUGAGUGGGGGGAAGAAAGAGUGUUGGUUGCAUUGGGUAGGCAUGAGGGGAGCCGGGGCGGGUGAGCGAUGAGCAGCAGCGGCAGUAAGAGGGCGUCGGGGGGGGCGAAGGACGAGAGGAAGAACGCCUCGAGCAAGGAGGAGAGCCCCGUGACUGGUAGGGAUCGGGACGAGGGGUCGGGGGGGACGAGCGCGGAUGGCACGCCGCAGCCUGGGAGCAAGCCUGGGUCCGCGGGGGCGAGCAGCAGGGAGGCCGUGCAGAAGCUUCUCGCGCUCGCCGCUCGCGGCGAAUGGGCGCCCGUGGACCAGCUGCUCAAAUCUUUGGAGAAGGCGGCCCAGAGCGCCGGGGAGGAUGGGGGGCCCCUUCUUCCUCUCGCCAGCGUCAUGGACCCGGCAACGGGGAUGACGCCGUUGAUGUACGCCGUGAAGGACAAUCGUACGGGAUUGCUCGACCGGAUGAUCGAAUUGGGGGCGGACGUAGGCGCCAGAAAUAACGACAAUUACAAUGCUCUUCACGUGGCGGCUAUGUACUCGAGGGAGGACGUGGUUAAGCUGCUCUUGUCGAAACGGAGCGUCGAUCCUUACGCGACCGGAGGACCGAGGCAACAGACCGCUAUACACUUGGUCGCGUCGAGACAGACGGGCACCGCGACCUCCAUCUUGAGGGCUUUACUGGCAGCCGCCGGCCGGGACAUCAGGUUGAAAGUCGAUGGGAAAGGAAAGAUACCGUUGCUGUUGGCUGUGGAAGCUGGGAACCAAUCGAUGUGCAGGGAAUUGUUGGCCCAACAGGCGCCCGAUCAGCUGCGCGCGACCACCGCGACCGGUGAUUCGGCGCUCCAUCUCGCGGCCAGAAGAAGAGACAUCGACAUGGUGCGGAUAUUGGUGGAUUACGGGGCAACGGUGGACAUGCAAAACGGCGACGGGCAGACAGCAUUGCACAUAGCGAGCGCGGAAGGCGACGAGACUCUCGUCAAAUAUUUUUACGGCGUGAGAGCGUCGGCCUCCAUCACCGAUCACCAGGAUCGCACGCCCAUGCAUCUGGCUGCGGAGAACGGGCACGCUUCCAUCAUCGAGCUGCUCGCCGACAAAUUCAAAGCGAGCAUAUUCGAAAGGACAAAGGACGGAUCGACGUUGAUGCACAUAGCGUCGUUGAACGGGCACUCGGAAUGCGCGACGAUGUUGUUCAAGAAGGGAGUGUACUUGCACAUGCCGAAUAAGCGAGGGGCCAGAUCUAUUCACACGGCCGCCAAAUACGGCCACGUCGGGAUCAUAAGCACACUUCUUCAACGAGGGGAGAAGGUGGACGCGACCACGAACGACAAUUACACCGCGCUUCACAUAGCCGUGGAGAACGCGAAACCAGCGGUUGUGGAGACGUUGUUGGGUUACGGGGCUGAGGUUCACGUUCGAGGUGGAAAGCUUCGAGAAACGCCUCUUCACAUAGCUGCCAGAGUGGCGGACGGUGACAGAUGCGCGCUCAUGUUGCUUAAAUCCGGUGCCGGGCCGAAUUUGACCACCGACGACGGGCAAACGCCAGUGCACGUAGCAGCCAGCCACGGAAACUUGGCCACGUUGUUGUUGCUCUUAGAGGAUGGAGGUGAUCCCAUGUGCAAGUCCAAGAACGGGGAAACGCCGUUGCAUCUGGCCUGCAGGGGAUGCAAGGCGGACGUGGUCCGACAUUUGAUCAAAUUCGUGAAGGAAAGGAGGGGCGCGGAGACGGCUACCUCCUACGUAAACAGUUUGACGAACGAAGGCGCGAGCGGGCUGCAUUACGCGGCCCAGAUCGAGCCGUCGGAGGUCGGCACGGCCGGGGACGACAGAGCGGUUAUUCGCGCCCUCCUCGAGGGCGGGGCGGACGUCUCGCUGCAGACGAAGCAGGCCCAAGAGUCGGCUUUCCACCACUGCGCGUUGGCCGGGAACAACGAGAUCCUGUCCGAGAUGAUAAGCGGGAUGUCGGCGACCGAGGUUCAGAAGGCGUUGAACCGGCAGAGCGCGGUCGGCUGGACGCCGUUGCUGAUCGCCGCCCACCGCGGCCACAUGGAGCUCGUCACAACCCUGCUCGCCAACCACGCGAGAGUGGACGUGUUCGACCUCGAGGGGAGAUCCGCCCUUCACCUGGCAGCCGAGCACGGCUACCUUCAAGUGUGCGACGCGCUGCUCGCCAACAAAGCGUUCAUAAACUCCAAGUCGAGAGUGGGGAGGACGGCGCUGCACCUCGCGGCGAUGAACGGCUACUCCCACCUCGUCAAGUUUCUCGUCCAGGAUCACGGGGCCGCGAUAGACGUCCUCACGCUGAGGAAACAGACUCCCCUUCAUCUGGCUGCGGGGGCCGGCCAGUUGGAGGUGUGCAAGCUUCUGCUCGAGCUCGGCGCGAGCAUAGACGCGACCGACGACCAGGGCCAGAAGCCGAUCCACGCAGCGGCUAUGAACAAUUACGCGGAGGUCGCCCAGCUCUUCCUCCAGAGGCAUCCGAGUCUGGUGAUGGCGUGCACCAAGGAUGGGAACACGUGCGCCCAUAUAGCUGCGAUGCAGGGCAGCGUGCGGGUGAUCGAGGAGCUGAUGAAAUUCGACCGUCAGGGAGUGAUCUCCGCUAGGAACAAGUUGACCGAGGCGACACCUCUUCAGUUGGCGGCGGAGGGGGGGCACGCGGAGGUAGUGAGGGCGCUGGUGAGGGCGGGCGCCUCCUGCGCCGACGAGAACAGGGCAGGUUUCACGGCUGUCCACUUGGCGGCGCAACACGGCCACGGCCAAGUGUUGGAAGUGAUGAGGUCCUCCCAGUCCCUUCGUAUAUCCAGCAAGAAGCUUGGCGUCACCGCUCUUCACGUAGCCGCGUACUUUGGCCAGGCUGACACCGUGCGAGAAUUGCUGACCCACGUGCCCGGUACGGUGAAGUCCGACCCACCGACCGGUGGCUCCCUCGUAGGAGAAUUGGGAAGCGAGUCUGGAAUGACGCCUCUUCACUUGGCCGCUUAUUCGGGGAACGAGAACGUGGUGCGGUUGCUGUUGAACUCGGCCGGGGUGCAGGUGGAGGCGGCUACCACGGAAAACGGUUUUAAUCCUUUGCACUUGGCCUGUUUCGGGGGUCACAUCACCGUGGUCGGUCUUCUGUUGAGCAGAUCGGCCGAAUUGUUGCACAGCUCCGACCGUUACGGUAAAACCGGCCUUCACAUAGCGGCCACGCACGGCCACUACCAAAUGGUGGAGGUGCUCCUCGGCCAGGGCGCUGAAAUAAACGCGACCGAUAAAAAUGGAUGGACGCCGCUGCAUUGCGCGGCGCGCGCCGGUUACCUCGACGUUGUCAAAUUGUUGGUGGAGAGCGGGGCGUCGCCCAAGAGCGAGACCAAUCUCGGCAGCGCGCCGAUUUGGUUCGCAGCGUCGGAGGGACACAACGACGUGCUCAAGUAUCUGAUGGAGAAGGAGCACGACACUUACGCCUUGAUGGAGGAUAAAAGGUUCGUGUACAACAUGAUGGUGUGCAGUAAGAACAACAACAACAAACCGAUCGAGGAGUUCGUGCUGGUGUCCCCGGCGCCCGUCGACACGGCAGCCAAGCUUUCCAACAUCUACAUGAAAUUGUCGGAGAAGGAGAAGGAGAGAGCGAAGGACUUGAUAGCCGCCGGCAAGCAGUGCGAAGCGAUGGCUACGGAAUUGCUUGCCUUGGCAGCGGGUGCCGACUCGGCCGGGAGGAUUCUCACCUCGAUGGACCGUAGGAACGUGGAGUUUUUGGACGUGUUGAUCGAGAACGAGCAGAAGGAGGUGAUCGCGCACACGGUUGUGCAACGAUAUCUCCAAGAGUUGUGGCAGGGCAGUUUGAAUUGGAACGCGUUCAGGACGAUCCUUCUGUUCGUCGCGUUCCUCGUCUGCCCCCCUGUCUGGGUCGUGUUCGCGCUCCCCCUCGGCCACAAGUACAACAACGUCCCAAUUAUAAAGUUCAUGUCGUAUCUAACCUCUCACAUAUAUCUGAUGGUCUUCCUUUUGCUGGUCGGUAUAAUUCCUAUAUACCCGGUUGUAAGGGCGAGCCUGUUGCCGUAUUGGUACGAGUGGUGCCUUCUCGUGAUGCUGUCCGGAUUAUUGCUCUUCGAGCUGACCAACCCGAGCGACAAAAGUGGAUUAGGCUGGAUUAAGCUGGCCGUGCUCCUGUUCGGAAUUUGCGGGGUCGCGUUCCAUCUAAUGGGUUUCGUAAUCGUCCACCGGCCCUAUUGGCCGACUUUACUUUACCUCAGGAAUCAACUGUUCGCCCUGAGCUUUCUGCUCGCCUGUGUGCAGAUCCUCGAUUUCCUCUCGUUUCAUCAUCUGUUCGGGCCCUGGGCUAUCAUCAUUGGUAACCUGAUGAAGGAUCUCGCGAGAUUUCUCGCCGUGCUGGCCAUCUUCGUGUUCGGUUUCUCGAUGCACUUUGUUGCACUGAACCAAGCCUUCGAGACCCAGCCGGAUGGCGGCAGGCGGAUGGAUGACAAAAAGAAAAAGGGCGUCUUCAACGACGAUUUGUUGACCAAUGUUACGGAAUGGAUGAUGGAGACGCCAUCGACGGCGCCUCCUCGUCGCUACGGCCGCUACAAGAAAAAAGAAUGUUGUGACGAUAACUCCCGAGAUAUAAAGAUGAAUCCUGUACUCGCCUUCGAAUAUCUGUUCUUCGCCGUCUUCGGCCAAACAACCCACGGCGAGCUGAAGGUCGAGACUAAUCAGCCGCAGUGGACCUCGGUCCUGUUCAAGUUGGCCUUUGGUGUAUACAUGUUGGUCUCGGUAGUCGUAUUAAUUAAUCUACUGAUUGCCAUGAUGAGUGACACCUACCAGCGGAUACAGGCCCAAUCGGAUAUUGAAUGGAAAUACGGGCUCAGUAAACUGAUCCGAAAUAUGCACAGAACGACCACCGCUCCGUCGCCCCUUAACUUGCUCACUACUUGGAUCGUGUACUUCAUCAAGGUGUGCAAACAACACGCCGCGAAACGAAAACGUCCCUCGUUAGUGCAUAUGAUGGGACUUCAGCGAGCUGCUCGUCUUUCGCCUAGAUCGAAGAUGGGCGCGAAAUGGUUGGCGAAAGUGAAGAAAGGUCAAGUUAGACCGAAGGACAGUGUAACUUUAUCCGUUGUACAUUUGAGUCCACUUGGUAGUCAAUUGUCGUUCAAUAGCGCUACCAGAAUCGAGAAUGUGGUUGACUGGGACUCGAUCCGUAAAAAAUAUUUAGCUUUGGCCGGGAACGAGCCUGAGAAAGAAGCGGACAAGGAUGCUAAAAACGAAGACGAGGAGAACGAGGAUGAGAACAUACAUAUGGUUGCCAACUCUUCCACGAUACCAACGACCGCGACGCCACCUGUUUAAAAGAAGUUUGCUCCUUCGCCUCGGAUAUAAAUAUAGAAAAGUUCGACCAAUUAUUAUCAAAUUUUAUCAAAUUUAAUGCGAUACGAUGCAUAAAUAUUCUUAUCGCGCUGAAUGUCGUAGUGAAAAUAAUUUUUAUGCGGAAGUAAACUAUUUUAAAUAAUGUUUCGUGGAGUCAUGAUAUUUGAAGGUUAACUUAUAUUCGCGAGAUAUGAAAAAAGCUAUCGUUUUUGGAAUUUACUCAGGAUGAGUCCCGUAUUGGCCGUUGAGUUAUUGUUCUUCGCCAUCUUCGGUCAGACGACCCACGAACAAUUCAAGGUUGAAAUAACGCAGCCCGAAUGGACCAAAGUUCUCUUCAAGCUCACCUUCGGUAUUUAUAU